GACGAACGCUGGCGGCGUGCUUAACACAUGCAAGUCGAACGGUAAGGCCCUUCGGAGUACACGAGUGGCGAACGGGUGAGUAACACGUGGGUGAUCUACCCUGCACUUCGGGAUAAGCCCGGGAAACUGGGUCUAAUACCGGAUAGGACUCCUGGCUUCAUGGUUGGGGGUGGAAAGCUUUUGCGGUGUGGGAUGGGCCCGCGGCCGAUCAGCUUGUUGGGGGGGUAAUGGCCUACCAAGGCGACGACGGGUAGCCGGCCUGAGAGGGUGACCGGUCACACUGGGACUGGGAUACGGCCCAGACUCCUACGGGAGGCAGCAGUGGGGAAUAUUGCACAAUGGGCGCAAGCCUGGUGCAGCGACGCCGCGUGAGGGAUGACGGCCUUCGGGUUGUAAACCUCUUUCAGCUAUGACGAAGCGCAAGUGACGGUAGUAGCAGAAGAAGGACCGGCCAACUACGUGCCAGCAGCCGCCGUAA
rnacentral:rRNA from 1 species